GGGCCGGUGGUCUAAUGGCUAGGACGCCGCCUUCGCAAGGCGGAGGCUCCGGGUUCGAAUCCCGGCCGGUCCA
rnacentral:tRNA from 1 species